rnacentral:misc_RNA from 1 species
UGAUAAGCAUAGGUCAAAGUUUAUUUAUACUGAAUCGAAAUAUUGAAAAAUGUCUCUCCUAGCAUACCUUUCAAGUUUUGUUCUGAUUGCACUUGCAAUAAAAGUUUAUUUGAAAGUCACAACACGCUGGUGUCAAAAUAAGGUUUGCCUAGUCGGAAAAACCGUUGUUGUUACAGGGGCAAACUCAGGAUUAGGAUAUGAAGUUUCUUUGGAAUUCGCUAAACGAGGUGCACGAGUAAUUUUGGCAUGCAGAAACGAAGAUAAAGCUAAGCAAGCAAGAGAUCAAAUUAUUAGUGAAACUCAAAAUCCAAAUGUAGUUGUGAAAUUGGUUAACAUGGCCUCACUGGCCUCCAUUAGAAACUUCGCUUCAGAUAUACUGAAAUCGGAAAAGAGGUUAGACAUCUUGAUCAACAACGCAGGUACCGGUAUCUUGAGGAAUGAGUUUACUGAGGACGGAUUGCAAGUUCUAAUGCAAGUGAACUAUUUUGGAUCAGUUCUGUUGACAAUGCUUUUAAUGGAUUUAUUGGAAAAAUCUUCACCAAGCAGGAUAAUAAAUAUAUCAUCAAUUUUGGCAAAACAAGCAAAUUUAACCAAAGGAAAUUUGAACACUUAUACUGGAAUGUCUGUAUGUUACCCUAAUAGCAAAUUAGGACUCAUAUUAUUUACCAUGAAGCUGGCUAAAUUAUUAAAAACAUCGAGCGUUAGCGUUUAUUCUCUACAUCCAGGAGUAAUAGAUACGAAUAUAUUCAAUAACGUGCCAAUAGUAGGAAGCAUAAUAACCCAGUAUUUUGCAAAAUAUUUCUUUAAGACAGUUGAGGAAGGAAUACAGACAAUUCUUCAUACAGCUCUAACUCCAGGAUUAGAAAUAUAUUCUGGAAAACAUUUCGAGGAAUGUGAUGUCGUAGAAACAUAUAAAACUGCUAGAGAUUUGGAAUUGAUGGAAACGAUUUGGAAGGAAACCAUGAGACUGAUAAAAUGUGAAGAAAUUUCCGAAAAACUACAACUCGACGCGAAAAGAUAAUUAUUUGUACAAUCAUAAUAAUGUUUCAUUAGCAUCGAUGUAUAUUAUGUUGGAUAUUUUUUCUUCUUAGUAUUGAAUAUUGCAAAAUAUUUAUUUAAGGUACAAGUAUAUAAUUCGGUUCCAAAAAACACAGUUUUGAAUAAAUGAAAAAAAUUGAACCCAAAA